rnacentral:rRNA from 1 species
GGUAAGACGCUGGCGGCGUGCCUAAUACAUGCAAGUCGAGCGGACAGAAGGGAGCUUGCUCCCGGAUGUUAGCGGCGGACGGGUGAGUAACACGUGGGUAACCUGCCUGUAAGACUGGGAUAACUCCGGGAAACCGGAGCUAAUACCGGAUAGUUCCUUGAACCGCAUGGUUCAAGGAUGAAAGACGGUUUCGGCUGUCACUUACAGAUGGACCCGCGGCGCAUUAGCUAGUUGGUGGGGUAAUGGCUCACCAAGGCGACGAUGCGUAGCCGACCUGAGAGGGUGAUCGGCCACACUGGGACUGAGACACGGCCCAGACUCCUACGGGAGGCAGCAGUAGGGAAUCUUCCGCAAUGGACGAAAGUCUGACGGAGCAACGCCGCGUGAGUGAUGAAGGUUUUCGGAUCGUAAAGCUCUGUUGUUAGGGAAGAACAAGUGCGAGAGUAACUGCUCGCACCUUGACGGUACCUAACCAGAAAGCCACGGCUAACUACGUGCCAGCAGCCGCGGUAAUACGUAGGUGGCAAGCGUUGUCCGGAAUUAUUGGGCGUAAAGGGCUCGCAGGCGGUUUCUUAAGUCUGAUGUGAAAGCCCCCGGCUCAACCGGGGAGGGUCAUUGGAAACUGGGAAACUUGAGUGCAGAAGAGGAGAGUGGAAUUCCACGUGUAGCGGUGAAAUGCGUAGAGAUGUGGAGGAACACCAGUGGCGAAGGCGACUCUCUGGUCUGUAACUGACGCUGAGGAGCGAAAGCGUGGGGAGCGAACAGGAUUAGAUACCCUGGUAGUCCACGCCGUAAACGAUGAGUGCUAAGUGUUAGGGGGUUUCCGCCCCUUAGUGCUGCAGCUAACGCAUUAAGCACUCCGCCUGGGGAGUACGGUCGCAAGACUGAAACUCAAAGGAA